ensembl:lncRNA
GACUCAACUGGUGUGGGCCAUCUCCAAGGAGACAGCCAGGCUUAGUCCUGAGGGCAUCCCCUACUGUGCCACCAAAGUGCAGUCCAUCACUUGGAUCCAGCGUGUGGCUGGCAGGGUGACCCACUAUGCGUCUCACCUCCGCCAAGAGACGUCUGUGGACGUGACGCUUGGCUGCUACCAGGUAAAUAAACGAUUUCCUAUGUAUAUAGACUAGACAUUACUGGGCAUUUUUGCAUUCGAUUUGGUGAGUUUUCUAAUAAUGUGUGUGUGUGGUAAACCGGUGUGCUGUGUGUGUUUUGAGCAGCAGACUGAUGUCUCAGUGGUGUACGCCACUCUCCACAUGGGGCUGGACGGGCUUCUCUCCUCUUCAGCGUGGUCGGAGGCUGCCUCCUUCUCUACUCCCACCACUCAGCAGUUCACUGACCCAGAGCCUGAGGGCCACAACUGCUAUGAGGGCUGGGAGGAGGACCUGCUGCCUGAGGAGAGGGAGGUUCCUCUGCUAAACCUCUACCUUACCACCAAGAGAGUGGAGGACAUCGUCCUGAGGCUCGUCUCCUUGCGCCAGGCCUUCACUACCCUGCUUGGUUCCACCCUGAGCAGGAACCAUCUGUUUGUGGCAGGAAAGGUCCUCCUGGGCAGCCUUGUUCAGGCAAACCACAUGGACGAGGCCAAAUUCAUCCGUACCUAUAACGACUUUGUGGACUACCUGAGUGACCCCUCCAAGCGGAAUGACAUUGAGAGGGAGCUGGCUGAGGCAAAGAUCCUUGUCCUAGAUCCUAGAUUCUUGUCCUAGAUCCUAGAACAGCUGGUGCUGUUUGGGAUGAUGACAGCUCAGAAGUCCCUGAUGGUGGUAAGUAGCAUCUCACUGGAACAUGUUUUGAUAUCUCUCUAUUAGCAGUUUCACUUAAAUUCCUCAUCUCUUCUAUUCUCUUUUCUCCUCCUUUGUUUCUUUUAGCACCCUGGUGGGUUCGUGGAGCGUCUGUGUUCUCUCCUGUACUCCUUCCUGCCCACUGCUGCCAACAUGGAGCCAGAGGCUGAUAGAAUCCUACUGCUGCUCAAUGUAAGAGUCAAGAGGUUACUUCCUGUUUACUUCCAUAUUCUUAGUGUACUUCCUUUUGACUUCCUUAUUCAUGGUUAACCAGGUUUCAGUAUUUCUAAUUGUCUCUCUCCUCUUGAUAAGCUAGUAACUCAGAGCCAUUUUCUAUGUGUUGUGUGGUGUUCUCUUCAGGGCGGACUGAUGGCUCUGCUAGAUGACAUGUUUGGCCAGCAGCUGGCCUGGUAUUUUAACUCCGAGUCUCUGGUCACUGAGCUCUCCAGCCUCCUGGAGUACCACUUGGAGAACCUCAUGGCCAGCAUGUAGUCCUACUGCAGGGACCAUACUCCUUUCUCCUUCUCUCUCUCUUUUGAAGGAAUUGAGGACUUGAAGUGCUUUGUUGAACCCUGAUUAGUUAACACCCAUUAAUUUAAUGUAUUCUCUUGUUUUCUCUCCCCACAGGAUUAUUGUGACACUUUGCCACCCAACAGGGAUCUAGACACCAAUGCACUACAUUACUUUGCACUGAAUUUGACAUUUUUAAAAUAAAAUAAGUUGUAGUUCAAAAUCAUUUUUG